GAGGAUACCCAGAGAAAUUUGGAUUAAUAUCUCAUAGUAUUAUAGAUCGGCAUCGGUUUAUAAUUAAGAUUUAUCGGUAAAGAUGGCUAUGCGUCCUAUUAGCUAGAUGGUAAGGUAACGGCUUACCAUGGCAAUGAUAGGUAGGGGUCCUGAGAGGGAGAUCCCCNACACUGGUACUGAGACACGGACNAGACUCCUACGGGAGGCAGCAGUGAGGAAUAUUGGUCAAUGGAGGCAACUCUGAACCAGCCAUGCCGCGUGCAGGAAGACUGCCCUAUGGGUUGUAAACUGCUUUUAUACAGGAAGAAACACUCCCUCGUGAGGGAGCUUGACGGUACUGUAAGAAUAAGG
rnacentral:rRNA from 1 species